UCUGCUAGUUGGGCAUUGUGGCAGCCAAGUACUCAUGGCUGCUUAGAUACUACAAUGAUCCUACACAAGAGGACCACCUAGGUCAAUGAAGCACCAUAGAACCCACCACCGGUCUCCUACGCUAACGACGUUGUCGUUAAUGGGCGUUGGUCUCAGACAAUGCAUGUCCACGCAGCAUGGAGCUGCUGCCAGCGUCUUCCACCGGGGGAUCCGGCAUUGCUGUUGGGCUGGCUGUGGCCCACCAUGCUUCGUGUUCGGUAGUAGGCUUGGCUAGCUCUGGGCUUCACUAAGCUAAUCAUUGUGUUGCUACUGUGGUGGUGGUGUUGUCUUGGCCUUGCCUACACCCCUCUCCGGGAAUAGUCCUGAGGAUGGAGCGGCUGUUGCUGGCAAAGGGUGGAGUGUCACUCUCUUGAGGCUGGACUUGGUUGAGUGUGACCUGGAGAAUCAGGGCGAGUCAGGCAUUGUGGUGGGCUGGUGGCCAAGUGCUUACAUGCACUUAAACACUAUGAUGAGCUUAUGAGAGCACCACCAAGGUACUGGUUUUAUUUGGUUAUACUUAUGCUUUUUGGUCUGCUAUGUCUUCCUGUAAUUGAGAUGGUAAAUUUGUGGUACUCCUAUGUAUGCUUC